rnacentral:lncRNA from 1 species
CUGGGGGCAUACUUGUGCACACUUGAGUUUUUAAACUUCAGAGUCCAGUUAUAAUAGGAGAGAGGUUUUUUUAUUCUCCACAGAAAGGCAUUCAGUUGAAGGCACUGCUGUUAAAAUAUUGCACUCUUUUUGUUCAACGUUAAUAAAAGUAACCUGCUGCUUGUCUCCUUCUGUUUGCCAUGUUUCUCUCUCUCUCAUCACUGGCAGCAAAUUCCUCAGCUCCAGUUGGAUUCUGCCUGCCUGUCCUGUCGUGUGCAAAACACAGGUGUGGGGGGCAAGCAGAGAGGUAAGGUAGUAAAAAAACAUCACAGCGGUGGAAAUAAUACACUGGAAGGCAGAGAAAAGCUGCAGCUUCUUUAAAUUCACCCAUGCAAAACCAGCAUAUUGCAGCAGUGCUGGGGAACAUUUAAGGUAUGCAAGCACUUUUGGUUUGUGCAUACUACAGUAUAUUUGCCAGCCCAGUUGUUGAUGUGCAUUAGAAAAACACACGAAUCAGCAAGCAUACCAUGGUAUCAGCAGAAACCAGCCAAGGACAGCAGAACAAAGCUGAAGAGGUGGUGUGCCUGUGAUUAACUUUCAAGCAUGGCAACUGAAGCCUAAUUAACAUUAUUACAGUGUCCUGAGAGGGUCUUUGAGAGCCUUAGUCUAGCCUGAGGAUAUGCAAUGAAAUGACUUAUGGCUGAUCCACUCUGCAAUGCUGGAUGAAGAUAUUCACUGGGUUUUUGUCAUUUCAAUUUGCACUACUUGUUUCUGCCUACUCGGUGCCCCCCUUUUUUCUUCUCCAACAGCAUCUGGACACCCUGAUCCAUGCCGUCUGCCCUGUGGGCUCUCCGCAGUGCACAGCCCGCAAGCAGUAGCUGACCGGACAGCCGCGAGUGGCCUCACCACACACCAGCCCCACCUGCGCGUUUUACAGCGUUCAGCAGAUGGAAGAAAAUGACCUCAGAAAGACCGAAAAGAAAAC